GACGAACGCUGGCGGCGUGCUUAACACAUGCAAGUCGAACGGUAAGGCCCUUUCGGGGGUACACGAGUGGCGAACGGGUGAGUAACACGUGGGUAAUCUGCCCUGCACUUCGGGAUAAGCCUGGGAAACUGGGUCUAAUACCGGGAUAUGAGCUUUCACCGCAUGGUGGGGGUUGGAAAGUUUUUCGGUGCAGGAGUGGGCCCGCGGCCUAUCAGCUUGUUGGUGGGGUAAUGGCCUACCAAGGCGACGACGGGUAG
rnacentral:rRNA from 1 species